GACGAACGCUGGCGGCGUGCCUAAUACAUGCAAGUUGAGCGCUGAAGGUUGGUACUUGUACCCACUGGAUGAGCAGCGAACGGGUGAGUAACGCGGGGGGAAUCUGCCUUUGAGCGGGGGACAACAUUUGGAAACGAAUGCUAAUACCGCAUAAAAACUUUAAACACAAGUUUUAAGUUUGAAAGAUGCCAUUGCAUCACUCAAAGAUGAUCCCGCGUUGUAUUAGCUAGUUGGUGAGGUAAAGGCUCACCAAGGCGAUGAUACAUAGCCGACCUGAGAGGGUGAUCGGCCACAUUGGGACUGAGACACGGCCCAAACUCCUGCGGGAGGCAGCAGUAGGGAAUCUUCGGCAAUGGACGAAAGUCUGACCGAGCAACGCCGCGUGAGUGAAGAAGGUUUUCGGAUCGUAAAACUCUGUUGGUAGAGAAGAACGUUGGUGAGAGUGGAAAGCUCAUCAAGUGACGGUAACUACACAGAAAGGGACGGCUAACUACGUG
rnacentral:rRNA from 1 species